rnacentral:rRNA from 1 species
UACGGAGGGUGCAAGCGUUAUCCGGAUUUACUGGGUUUAAAGGGUGCGUAGGCGGACUUUUAAGUCAGUGGUGAAAGCUCCGAGCUUAACUCGGAAACUGCCAUUGAUACUAUUAGUCUUGAAUUCGGUCGAGGUUGGCGGAAUGUGUCGUGUAGCGGUGAAAUGCUUAGAUAUGACACAGAACACCGAUUGCGAAGGCAGCUAGCUAGACCGACAUUGACGCUGAGGCACGAAAGCGUGGGGAUCAAACAGG